UACGUAGGGACCAAGCGUUGUUCGGAUUUACUGGGCGUAAAGGGCGCGUAGGCGGCAAUUCAAGUCAUCUGUGAAAUCUCCGAGCUUAACUCGGAACGGUCAGAUGAUACUGUUUUGCUAGAGUACAGAAGGGGCAAUCGGAAUUCUUGGUGUAGCGGUGAAAUGCGUAGAUAUCAAGAGGAACACCUGAGGUGAAGACGGGUUGCUGGGCUGAUACUGACGCUAAGGCGCGAAAGCGUGGGGAGCGAACAGG
rnacentral:rRNA from 1 species